AGGCUAAAGGAGAGCUUGCUUGGAUGCUGAGUGGAUGCAUUACAGCCCUGUGACUGUCUCUCUUUCAGAUCAAACUAGCGUUGUGCUUUCAAAAUUGGGCUGCAUGAAUGCCAGGAGAUCCAUUGUUGCGUGGGAAGAAAACAUUACAAUAUUGACAUAUAUUUAUCUGAUGCUCAAAACAUUUAAUUUCUAUUUUGGGGUUGUAAUAUGCCUAAUAUAUCAAUACUGUACUGCAUAUAUGAUUAAUUGAUAACAUAUAUUGGCAGUGCCUGCUUAAGAUAAUUUUACUGAUAAGGAGGUAGAAUCCUUACAAGUUUGUUGGCCACUCUGCCAAAGAACUCUGAAACUGGCGUUCCUCCCUGCCCAUUUAUGGAUGGGCCCAUGAAGAAAACAAAAACAAAAGACACGUUUGAGGAUCUUUAUCAGUCCGAUUGUCUUGACACCUUGAAGUUGGUAGAGAUUCAGUUUGUGAGAUAUCUGUGCAGCCAACUGCAGUUGAAGAGGUUGUAUCGGAAGGGAAAGACACUAUUGAAGUCCUGCAACCUUCCAACACAGGUGAAAUUGCAGCAAAAAAGGAAGAGCAAACUUUGAAUGAUCUUGUGAAUCUUUUGCAAGAUGUGGUAAAAAAUAUCCCCACAGAACUUGUAUUGUCAACUGAACCACCAGCAACUCUUUUGGUACCCAGGCUAGUAACUUCUCCCUCUGUAGCAAUGGACACUGUUUGGGUGAAUGUGAACCCCCAAAAUAGUGACAAGUCCAGAACAAUUGCCUUGAUGAAAAAGGAUACUCCAACUACAACAGCCUUUUGGAAACUCAGAAAUGACGCAUCUGCAUCUGUUAUCCUGCAUUCCAACCCAAGUCCCUCAGAAUAUCUCCCAAGUGACACAAGUGAGUCUGUUAUUCUGAUUUCUGAAGAGCCAAAUCCAGGAAAUACAUUGGGCACCAUUUCAGUUCAGUUGGAAAAAGAAGCAACCACUAAGAAAGAAGCUCCACCUAUAACAGAAAUGAAGUUGGACAUAGAGCUGCCUUCCUCCCUCUCAUCUGAAGCAUCUGAGACAGAAAUAAAGCUGGACAUAGAUAUCACUCCUUCCUCGUCCACAGUUCCACCCACCACGCAAGUGGAGAUAGAAAUGUCUCCUUCCCCAUCAACAACUGCAUCUGUACCAGAAGUGGACAUCAUUUUGCCUGCAUCUGAGUCUCCGGAAAAGAAAGCAGAAGACACAGAAAAAGAAAUGGGGAAAUUAAAAGCAUUUAUUAAUUUAUUAUAUGGCUUUAGUCCUGAAUUAACUGAAUAUGCAGAGAAUUCACCACAUAAAAAGAUGGCUCAGGAUAUUGUUGAAAGAUCAAUGGAAGUCCUUGAUGCCAUAAAGAGUGUUUUUUGCGGAAAUCCUAAAAAGCAAAGUAAACAGAUUUUGAAGCAGUUGUUACAGAAAGACAUGGAGCUUGUAAGACAAGCCAUGAAGGGAAAAAAAGCCUCUUAAGAUACAUUUACUGCUUGGUACUGUAGGUUUUUAUGAACAAUCAAGAGGUCUGGUUUCUUAAUUGUAACAGCAAUUGAAAUACACCUGUAGCCAUUUUCAUGCCUGAAAUUAAAUGUUUGUUUUUAAACAUUUUUG
ensembl:lncRNA